CCUGCCCGUGCCCGUCACCACUUCCUCUGCAUCGGAGGCCACCACCGCCAUCCUGGUGCUCAGAUACAGCUGAGGCUAAGACAGCUCCCGAUAAGGGUCACGUUCCUGGGCUCACAAACGCUCACUCCCACACGGAAGUGCCCCGGACCCUCUCCUCCCAGCAAACCUCUUUGUCUUCCCCUCCAUAGUGGACAGCAGAAAAGGCACUGGUUCCUGGCCAGAGAUAUGUGGGUUUAAGUCCCCACUUUGCCACAGAAGAGCUGCGACGCUGAGCAAGUCACUGUACCUCUCUGGGCCUCUGUUCCAUCAGAGCCUGGCACAGAGGAGGUGCUCAACUGCUCCUGCGAAUGGCUGACACCUAUUUGAGUUUUCUGGCAUCCUGGGCCAAGGGGUUACAUGGAUUAUUUCACACUCCAGCAACCCAACGAGGUGGUACCAUUCCUGUCAUCAUUCUGCAGAAACUGAGGCACAGAAACACUAGGUGAAUGCAGAAAACCACACCCCGGUGGGCUGAGCCGCCAAAGAACACAGGAAUGGUGCAGGCACACACCUCACACCUCUGUCGGCUGCCUCUGAGCCACGCUCACCCCAUCUGGGGGCCACCUUGCCACCUGAUCUCAGAUAACCCUCCUGCCACCGCUUCAGAAGCUGCAACCCUUCCCACCCACGGCCACAAGCAGCCUGCAGGCCUCUUUCCUGGCAAAGUGCCAUAUUUAUUGUAUCGAUUGAGAUAAAACAGCAUAACGUGAGUUGUUUUACUGGGGGCAAAAAUGAGGACUGUAGCCUGGGAGACAGCAUCCCAGACAGCUCUGAGGAACUGCUCCAAAGAGGCAGGGGGGACACUCAGUAUUAGAUAUGAUUUCAGUGAAGGGGGGCACGUGCAGUCAAGCACACACUUAAGGCAGAGGCUUGCUGCUGGUCACGAGAAGCAGACGUCACUGUUAAUGAUUUUAGUGCUUUUCUAGAUAUGAGAAGACGCAAGAAUCUGGGCUCAUAAAUCUUCUCCUGAAAAUAUCUAACUAUCUGAAGGCCUGUUCUGCCAGUUUUCCCAGAGCAUGGAGCUCUGCAUUCCUGAUCUCAGCCCUGAACUCCGUUCAGAGUGUGUUGGAGGUCGGCAGCUGCAGCAGCGCGUGAGUUAAUCCAAGCAGAGGUGGACGGCAAGUGCCAACGGGACCCAGCCCUUGCAGAGGCAGGUGGCAAGUGCCAAUGUUUAGCUGGCAGUUGUAACAAUUUUGUGUUUCUUAUCUGCAAAACCUGGGUAAACUGUGCUGCUUGCUUUUAGGUUCCUAUCUUUUCUUUUUUUUUCUAACAUGCUCCAGGUGACGUUUUUGAGUGUCAUGCCCUUAGCCCCAUUUUUCUCACAAGGCUUCUGAUUUUUAUUGCAUAAUUUUGCACAGUUCGGGGAUUUUUAGGAAGGCAAAUUUACAUUACAGCAGAACUGUAUUAUGUAAAGGGCUAAGCAUAGCGCCUGGCACAUGAUAUGCAUUUAAUCAAUUUUAACUUACUAGUAAAAAAAAAAAAAAAAGUGUGGGGAUUCCUUAAAUAUCCAAGAAGAUUAAGAUAAUGGGGGCACUGAGGCAUCCCAGAAGGUCUGUGCGAAGCAUUUAGAAUAAUACAGGAUGAAGCUUUCAGAAUGAAAGAUGGCAUAAACGCUGUAGGUAGGCAUGAUCAAAACCCUGCACUAAAAAAUCUUUUUCUCCAUAAAAAUCAACUAAGCCUGGAAGGAAAUACAUCAGAUUGUCAACAGCAAUUGAUGAGACAGGGUAAUUUUUUUUCUUUUCUAAUUAAAAAUUUUUUUAAAUUUGUACUUUACUCCUAAUUUUGCAAAAUCAUAAACCUUUUAAAAGCGUAAAGAUAACAUAAAUCACAACUAAAGCAAUUUUCAAGAAGCAGAAAAACAUCUCAGCCUGCUAACGCAAGCUCUUCACGACCACAUGCUCCCUGUCUGUGUCCGGCAUGUAAGGACCUGUUUCACCCACAGCUAUGAGAGCCAGCACACCCUGCCCUAGGCAGCUUUUUUCCAUUAAACACUGUAUCAAACACUUCCCUUUCCAUCCUGUCUUCAGAAUAAAGAUUAUUUUUAAGGACAAGAAUUUUGAAACAGUAUAGCUUAUGACUUUUACUUUGUAUCUAGUAAUGAAAUUGAGACCAUUUUCUUUGGAAAUCAAUUUGAGAAUCAAAUUGACAUAGCACAAAAAUCAAUCCUACACUCCCUUUUUUCCUCCCAAGAUCAACUGAUGGCUUAUCAAGGAGAAGAAAGAAAAAGAGGCUCCUUAUCGUGAGGCUGCUCAUGUUUAUUAGGUUCUGAGCCUCUGCAAGACACUCGUCUGGAAAUCCGUACUCAGAGUCCGAC